AGGGUCUGCUUUUAAGUUCUCUUGAGCUUCUUAAAUAAGAAAGAAAAAAGAAAACAAACAGAAAAGCCAGAGCCCCUGGGCUGAAGCUGAAGGGAUAUCAUUCAGAAACCACCGGGUUGCAGGGUUUGUGCGGCUGCCAGAUUUUAGCAGCCAGAGAGCAGCCCAGGACAGAAGCCUAAAUGCCAGCAGGCCCAGUGAAAGUGAGUGUGAAGGCCCUGCCCAAGGCACCAAAGAGAACAGCCCUGGGCUGUAGGCCCGCAGCAGAGGCUAGAGAGAGAGAGAAUGAAUUGUGGUGUAGAAUGGGCUGACCGAGGCUCCCUAGUUGGGCUGCACCUGUCUCCUAAUUUAGGGUCUUCUAUCUGCAGGAGUUCAUUCUAAUUUGGAAAGACACGCAUCCAUCCAUCCACACAUUCAACAUAUUUUGACCUCAACUUUUCCACUUUUUACCCUCAGCUAAAUAUACUUCUCAUUGUGUUGCUCCAAAUCAGACUGCCUUACCGGUUUUCCGCACUGUCCUCCUACGCGGGAAUCACCCAGGAGGUGCUGUGUUUUGGAGUAGUGUGUCUGGUACUUGUCACCUUUAACCAACAAUUACUGAGCACCUACUGGGUGCCAGAUACUCCGCCAGGCUCUGAGAGGACAGAAAUGCGUAACACACAAUUCCUGCUCUCAAGGAGGCCUUUCAAGAAGAGAGUAGAAAAAAUUCACACAUUUCCCCCAUCCCAAAAUGACAUCGAUCUGAAGAAAGGAAAAGAAAAAGGUAACUCCCAAUGUGUCUUUAAACAUUUGACUCAAAUUUGAGAUUUGGGGUUCGGCAAUCAGCUGAACCUCUUCCUCUCCUUUACGUGCACACACACACACACACACACACACACACACACACAUUCUGUAGCAUGCGUGUCCUCAUUCAGCUGGCCAGCGAAGGAUAGGCGUAGUUGUUGCUGGCCCUGCCGGUGCUACAAUUUUGAUCAGACAGGUAUUAGAAGUUAAUUUCAGAAACAAAAUCAUAGCAGUUUCUGGCACAUAAGCCAACUCCAACCUAACCUUUCGAUGAGGUAAGGCUAAAGGAAUCUGAUAAACACAUUUUAUUUCCUGUGAAAUGAACAGGGAUUUAGAAACUAAGAGGGAAGUGGGAUUUAGAUACACACAUUUUGGGUUUUAUCUCACAGGACACAUAUAGCCCUUUUGUUCCAUUUGUCAUAGUUCCAGGCCCACCGGGUCUCACCUACCUUUGACAUGCACCUCCAUUACCUAUCUAAGCCUCAACCUCCCAGGGUCUCCCUCUGGACUCUCCCCUUCCUAGGGGAAAGAAGGCAAAGCAACACUGUUGUGAUGUGAUGGCCAGGACCGGGGUCACGUGGCCCACUCCAGAUCUGUCCCAGUGGUCACUGUCCCAGGUUCCUGUCCCACUUUCACACUUUGUGUAAACAUGAUACAAUUAUUUCUGGGGGACAAAGGAGACUCUAAAAGGGACCCCUUUGUUACUCUUCAUGCACUGCUCCCCCAACCCCAGACCUGUUCACUUGAUCCUGGAAGGAAGAAACAAACUCUUAUUCCCUCUCAGGCUUCUGCUGAUACUUGUUCUUCAGCUGAGUUCAAGACGGCCAAAUGAAUUUUUCAGAAAGACCACAGCUGGCUUGUCAGGACCCAGGUAACAAGACGAAAAUAAUUGAGAGAGGAAAAAUCCCAGGCCCCUUGGGUGUCAUUUUCACAAAGUUUUCUUCUGCGUAUCCUUAUGUGUUCCGGGUUUUUCAAUGGUUCUCUUCUGUUCUCACUGGCAAUUUUCCUCUGCCUUUUCUUCUUUCUCUAUAGAUUUCCCAAAAGCAUAAGCUAUGUGUCCCUGAUCCUGAGCAGAGUUGAUAGGAAACCUUGUUUUUUUUUUUUUAGAACAUUUCAUAGACAAAACACAACCCCGGCUGCGGCUGGAGGCUGCUGGGAUUUCUG
ensembl:lncRNA